rnacentral:rRNA from 1 species
UAUCACUAAGCGGAGGAAAAGAAACUAACCAGGAUUCCCUUAGUAACGGCGAGUGAAGAGGGAAGAGCCCAGCACCGAAGCCUGCGGCAGUUUUGCUGUUAGGCAAUGUGGUGUUUGGGUCGGCUCGUGGGACUGCCACUCCACUCGAAGUCCAACAUUGAGUAUGGUUCGUUGGAUUUGGCCCAGAGAGGGUGAAAGGCCCGUACGGGUGGAGGUAUCAGACAUGUGAGGCAGUUCACCAGGCCGGCCUUAGAGUCGGGUUGUUUGAGAAUGCAGCCCAAAGUGGGUGGUAAACUCCAUCCAAGGCUAAAUACUAGCACGAGUCCGAUAGCAAACAAGUACCGUGAGGGAAAGUUGAAAAGUACUUUGAAGAGAGAGUAAACAGUACGUGAAACCGCAUGCAGGUAAACGGGUGGCGUCAAGCUGCACACCCAGGGAAUUCAGUCGGCUAGGAUGUUGUGUAUGCGCUUGCGCAUCGAUCAGUCAGUGUAAGAUUGGAUAGUCCACUGGGAGACAGUGGGCCCUGCCGCAAGGUGGGGAUGUGUGUACCGGGUGGUAGCCGGAGCACGCUGUCCGUCUGUUGGACUGUCUAGCCGGUGCACUUUCUCUGUGGUGGACACCACGACCGGUGGAACUGCCAGUCUGCUAUGGUCAAGUCGUAUUCGGUGCGUCCUUGUGGCAAACUGGGUGCGAUCACGGGCAAAUUCGGUGUACGGCGUGGGUGCAUCUUUCGAGGUGUGCCUUACGUGUUAUCGGGCACUGGUUGUCUGAACGGGCCUGCCCGACGAUUGUUAUAGCCGUCGUUGGGUGGUCUGGUGGGCUAUGGCGGUAAGAAUAACUGUGCAGGGCACUGGAGUUCUCGGCCUCAAAUGCUGUCUGCAUGCACGCUAUAAGUGUGUAUUUGUGUGUGCCGUGUCAGCCUGCCUGUUGGUGAGUCUGACUGUCGUGUUGCCUACGCAAAGUGGGUCCGGCAGUGGUUUGCUGCAGGUUGGAGUUGUGCACGGUGUAUGCUGUGUGUAGGCAGUGGUGGGCCAGAUAGUCAGUGGUGUAGUGGUAGACGAGCUACCCGACCCGUCUUGAAACACGGACCAAGGAGUUCAACAUGUAUGCAAGUCAAAGGGUCCUACGAAACCCCAAGGCGCAGUGAAAGUGAAGCUGCGGCUCCCCUUUUGGGGUGUCCGUAGUGAGGUGAGAUUCUGUCGUUACUCGCAUCAGUGUCUCUACACUUGCCAGUAGCAGGCAUUAAGAGCGGCAGACGCAUCACCGGCCCGUCCCUUGAUGUGGUCAUUGGAAAAGGCUGCAUUCGGUCCGCCCGGGUGUGGUACUGCCAGUGCGUCAUCGGGGCGGAGCAUGAGCAUACACGUUGAGACCCGAAAGAUGGUGAACUAUGCUUGCGUAGGUUGAAGCCAGAGGAAACUCUGGUGGAGGACCGCAGCGAUUCUGACGUGCAAAUCGAUCGUCAAACGUGAGUAUAGGGGCGAAAGACUAAUCGAACCAUCUAGUAGCUGGUUCCCUCCGAAGUUUCCCUCAGGAUAGCA